rnacentral:rRNA from 1 species
AUGCACGCUGGCGGCGUGCGUAAUACCUGCAAGUCGAGCGAACGGACGAGAAGCUUGCUUCUCUGAUGUUAGCGGCGGACGGGUGAGUAACACGUGGAUAACCUACCUAUAAGACUGGGAUAACUUCGGGAAACCGGAGCUAAUACCGGAUGAUAUUUUGAACCGCAUGGUUCAAAAGUGAAAGACGGUCUUGCUGUCACUUAUAGAUGGAUCCGCGCUGCAUUAGCUAGUUGGUAAGGUAACGGCUUACCAAGGCAACGAUGCAUAGCCGACCUGAGAGGGUGAUCGGCCACACUGGAACUGAGACACGGUCCAGACUCCUACGGGAGGCAGCAGUAGGGAAUCUUCCGCAAUGGGCGAAAGCCUGACGGAGCAACGCCGCGUGAGUGAUGAAGGUCUUCGGAUCGUAAAACUCUGUUAUUAGGGAAGAACAUAUGUGUAAGUAACUGUGCACAUCUUGACGGUACCUAAUCAGAAAGCCACGGCUAACUACGUG